UGUUGAGACAAAGGUGUGUGUGUGCUGGUGAGUUCUAGAAUCAAUGAGAACAAAAGAAAAACAAAAAGAAAAAGGUGAACUCAAUACGUUGAAUAGGAAUGUAAUGGAAGCAAAAAGGACCGAGAGAGAUAAAGAGAAGGACCGAGAGAGAGAGUUAGCUGCUGGAAAUCCAACUCAAGAGUUCAAGAAGAAGAAGAAAUAAGGAAGGAAAAGCUAGGAAAGGUGUGGAAUUAAAGGCGAGUUCAAGAAUUUAUCAAAGAUUCAUCAAAUUCAAGAGUUUAGGUGAUCAGGCGCAUGAUGUUAUUAUUCACUGGGCUCCAGCUCACUGUAUUAUUUAUGUAUGUGAUCAGGCGCAUGAUCAGGCUUAGAGGCGUCUGCCUGGAAUUUGUUUUUGUCAGCCAACCUAUGUGCCUCUCGUGGAGGUUCCGGAUAUGUCAAAUGACCUAUGUGCUUCUCGUGGAGGUUCCGGAUAUAUCAAAUGGUUAUGGCUAUGUGAUUAAAAUUUAAGUUUUGUUUUCUUAAUUAGUUAAACUGGUUUUUGUUUAAUUUGUAAAUAAGGCUAAGUCCCUUUUUGUCUAGCCUAUAUAUAUAUAUAUAUGAUGUGUAAAUGCAUGAAUGUAAAUCUAAGUCCCUUUUUGUCUAGCCUAUAUAUAUAUAUAUAUAUAUGAUGUGUAAAUGCAUGAAUGUAAAGUUUAAAAUUUUUCUGUCUCA